ensembl:lncRNA
AACACGGGACAUCUGCGAUGAUCCGCCAACAUCCCUCGAACACGGAACUCGCUGUCACGCUUCAAGAAGAAUAUGGCUUUUCCUCGGUGUCGUUUUAGCUUCGACGCCUCAGCUCCUGCUGUCAGGGUUAAAGCACACACUGUUACACUACCCAGUAUUUUUUAUUUUUUAAAGAAAAGAGAAGUCUCACCAUACUGAUACCUGUCAAAUUCCCUUCAGUGCAUCCAGAAUGUCUGCAGUGGAGAAGCUGUGAACACGUCGGGUCCCCCCCCCCCCAGCAAUCUGAGCCCAGCAGUUUUACCUUGCUCGACUGUGUGCGGAGCUACGGAGGAGGAAAAGCUGACACGGUGGCUACACCGAGGUGCUGAUAGUGAAAUCCCAUUAGCUGCCCUCCCACUGACGCCCAACUGACAUCAAUGGGACGAGCCAAAGCAGUUUCAGCCAAGACGGAGGUGGAAGAGGGAACGAAAAGAGCCGUCAAAGAACGAGCCGCGGGAAAGCGAGCGAACCAUUAAAAGAAGAGGAGGAGAAGGGGAAUGCCAGCUCCUACGUGGCCACCAAUUUAGAAUGGUUUCUGGUCAGGGGAAGUGGCAGGAGUGGAUGCCCAAAUUAG